UAAUUGCGAUAUCUAAUAUGAAUUGCAGAACCCUGUGAAUCAUCGAGAUUUCGAACGCAUAGCGCCCAGAGCUUCGCUUUGGGCACAUCUGGUUGAGUGACAGUUAACUUCAUCGCUUCACCACAAAAAUUGCAUUUGAUGCGACUAUGUGGAUUGUGAGGCGGCUUGUUGCGGAUGUGUGUAGGCAGCGCGUUCCGGUUGAUGCGCCGCCAAACACACUACCGUCAAACUUCCCGGGCAGUUAAGUAUAGUGACUUGGGUACGUGUAUCAGCAUUUCUGCCGUUCUCAGCACCUGGUCAACUUGCGCACGAUUGCUCAAAAGCUUAACCACACCAUUUUGUCCUCAGCUCAGGUGGGAUUACCCGCUGAACUUAA
rnacentral:misc_RNA from 1 species